rnacentral:rRNA from 1 species
CCUACGGGUGGCAGCAGUGAGGAAUAUUGGUCAAUGGACGCAAGUCUGAACCAGCCAUGCCGCGUGCAGGAAGACGGCUCUAUGAGUUGUAAACUGCUUUUGUACGAGGGUAAACGCAGAUACGCGUAUCUGUCUGAAAGUAUCGUACGAAUAAGGAUCGGCUAACUCCGUGCCAGCAGCCGCGGUAAUACGGAGGAUUCAAGCGUUAUCCGGAUUUAUUGGGUUUAAAGGGUGCGUAGGCGGUCGGGUAAGUUAGAGGUGAAAUCUCGAGGCUCAACUUGGGAAUUGCCUCUGAUACUGUGCGGCUAGAGAAUAGUUGAGGUAGGCGGAAUGUAUGGUGUAGCGGUGAAAUGCUUAGAGAUCAUACAGAACACCGAUUGCGAAGGCAGCUUACCAAGCUACUACUGACGUUGAGGCGCGAAAGCGUGGGGAGCAAACAGGAUUAGAUACCCCGGUAGUC